GAAUAUUGGACAAUGGGCGCAAGCCUGAUCCAGCCAUGCCGCGUGAGUGAUGAAGGCCUUAGGGUUGUAAAGCUCUUUCAGUGGGGACGAUAAUGACGGUACCCACAGAAGAAGCCCCGGCUAACUUCGUGCCAGCAGCCGCGGUAAUACGAAGGGGGCUAGCGUUCUUCGGAAUUACUGGGCGUAAAGCGCACGUAGGCGGAUCGGUCAGUUAGGGGUGAAAUCCCGGGGCUCAACCCCGGAACUGCCUUUAAUACUGCCGGUCUAGAGUCCGAGAGAGGUGAGUGGAAUUCCGAGUGUAGAGGUGAAAUUCGUAGAUAUUCGGAGGAACACCAGUGGCGAAGGCGGCUCACUGGCUCGGUACUGACGCUGAGGUGCGAAAGCGUGGGGAGCAAACAG
rnacentral:rRNA from 1 species